rnacentral:lncRNA from 1 species
CUUUCAUUCUCCUCGUUACCCCAUAAUUAAAAAUACUCUAGAAUUAUACUUUGCAUAUGUACAGGCUAUUAUAUCCUUGACAUCACUGUCUAGUUUACACAUGUAUACAUGCAUAUUACCAUAGAGCAGUGUAUAUACCAAACCAUGGACACUCCACUUAUAUUUAGUGUAAGGGAUACCCAAGAAUUAAUUUGAGAAAACAUUAUUAUCACUUAGGACUUUGACUUUACAACUACCCCCUACAUAAGCUGCCAUCCUUGUAAUGUAGAGUACAUUGUAACAUAAAGAAUAAUACUGUUUUGCAGGAGAGAGUGACUUAUCUAAUAAAUACACCCAAAAUAUUACCUGAUUUUGAAAAUUAUAACAGAAAGAAGUACAGAAAAAUUGGAAAACUUCUUGCCAACAUGAAUCUAGGAAAAAAGGACUUCAAAAUAUUUUGAACAAAACCUGUAGCUAACAUGCUUAAGUUACUUUUAUCCAUAGAGAUUUGGAAUGAGUAAAUAUCCAGUUUUGAGUAAAAAAAAAUCUCUGAAAUAUAAGACAAUUCCAAAUAAAUUAAACGCUGUAUAACGUUUAGUGCUUAGAGAUCCCUUAUUUGAAUCAGAAUUUUAAUAAUAAGCUAUGCCAUUUCUUUUAUAUUAAAAGUCAGUUUCCCAUCCCCAUUAAAUAUUAGCCAAAUUUUUUUAAAAAAUCACCUUGUUGAGGGUUCCAAUUAAUAGCCUAUAUCAAUUUUGGUUUGCUAUAUUCUUUCAUGUAUCUUCAGACAUUUAUUCUGAACUAGCUCUUUCCUGUGUUAAAACCAAACUAAAAAUCCAACGAAAAAAACUCCUUUGACCCAAUGUCCUCUCCAGCUACUGUUAAAUUAUCUCACCUUCCCAGCCAAACUUUGUUUGAGACAAGAUGUCACUCUGUUGCCCAGGCUGGAGUGGCAGUGGUGCGAUCAUGGCUCACUGUAACCUCGACCUCCCAGCUCAGGUGUCCCUCGCACCUCAGCCUCCUGGGUAGCUGGGACUACAGGCGUGGGCCACCAUGCCUGCCUAAUUUUUUGUAUUUUUUGUAGAGACAGGGUUUCACCAUGUUGCCCAGGCUUCUCUUGAACUCCUGGGCUCAAGGAUCCUCCCACCUCAGCCUCCCCAAGUCCUGGGAUUAUAGGCAUGAGCCACUGCACCUGGCCCUAGCCCAACUUUUUAAAUUAGCUAAGGUUGUUUGCAAUUCUGAAACUUGACUUAUUCAGUCUUUUAAGUGGUCUCCUCAAUUUAAUUUCUGUUUCAAUUCGUUCUCCAAACUGUAAGUUGAGCAACUUCUAAAAUACAGAUUUCAUCAUGACACUCUCAAUCUUGAAAUCAUUCUAUUGCUCUCUAUUCCUAUAAGGAUACAGUGUCAAUUCCACUGCAUCAUUUAUGAGGUUCUCCACCACCUGGUGCCUACUACCUCACCAGCUCAGCUCUUGCUGCUCACAUAUACCUGGAACUCUAGCUCAUUAAUCUUUCCCUGUUCAGUUUCUCAAUUGUGUCAUGCUCACUCUCACCUAGAAAGUUACUCAGACUGUUUCCUCUGUCUGGGACUUCUUUUGUCGGAUUUUCAGGGCUCUCACCCUUCACCUCUCAGCUUAAAUGUGUCUUCUCCAUCAUGGUCUUUGUUAGGGUUCCUUGCCACAUGUUGUCCUUGUGAGACAGCCAGGUGGGAGGGGGUCCCUGGAGAAACUCCAACAAGCCUGCCCACUGAGUUGGAGCCUCUGAAGUUCACCGUGUUUGCAGCAGGGAGGAACCUGGCCCCUCCUCUUCCUGUGUGGAACCUGGGAUUCAAAUUGCCGGGCUGGAAGUGCUCUAGCAGAGGGAGUUUCCCCCGUUUUUCCUUUUUCACUCAAUGAAACCCUGCUUUACUCACCCUUUAAGCCAUGGGCCAGCCUAAAUUUUCAUUUUCAUGGCCGUGGGAGGGACAAGAACCCCCAUCUUUAGCUGAACUAAGGAAAAGUCCUGCAACAUUUUUGACGCACAACGUGGUGGCUUGAGAAGCCGUGAGUGAAAUGGGGACUCAAAACUUCUCUCUGUUGCUCCUAAGCAUUUUCAUCCUCCGACUUCUGAGGGUGAGGGAAAGAUGCCCCCAAACCUGGUGGCUCCCGGGGGCGGGGGGGUCAGGAGAAAGGCCCUUUCCUUCCUUUUUUGGGAAGGACAGGUGAGCAGGAAGUCCUCUCUCCCCCUCCCCUUCCUGCAGAGGCUGGGACUCAUAGCCCAAGGGUCCUGCACAGCCCGCUGGCUGGAAGGGGUUCAGCUUUGAACUUUAGUUUUGAGUAAGAUAGGAAAAGCCGAAGAAGUGGCGGAAGAAUUGUGGAAAUUAAUCUUGCAGAAGAGGUUCUCUGUGUGAACUUAUUAACUAAAUUUAAAGGGGUUAUAAAAGGUUUUUGCUUCUUUAAAUGUCUAAGUCAUCAUUUUGGCAAUAGAAAUCACGUAUGAUAAUCUGGAACUCUCUUUCGUAAUAUCAAGUGUUUUAAACCUUGAACAUUUAACCUUGAACCUUGAACAUUUAACCUUGAACCUUGAACAGCCUUCUCAAAAUCAAAAUUUUGAAAAGUUUCAAAAUUGUCUUCCCUGGCAUCUGGCUUUUCGAAUACUUAAGAGGGCCCCUAAAGUGUCCAGAAAAGAGAGGUAAACAGGAUUAUUUGGCAUGUUUAGGUACAUGGGAUUGCCAAAAUGAUGCUCAGUCUUCUUUAGGUUAUAUCUUGGUGAAUAAUGCUAAUAUAUAUUCCAAAAUUGCAUGGGAUUUCUAAAAUUCUAAUGUCUGAGUAUAUGCUAUCAAUCACAAUUAAGGUUUUUAUGUUAAGUUAUUGUAAACCACAGGGAUAACCAAGCUUCUUUGUCAAUUGUGUUUCUAAUUUUAACUACCCUGGACAUUUUGCUAUUCACAGACAAUUGUUGUCUUGUUUUAAUUCUUUUCAAAAGAUGGUUUAUAAUAGGGUAUAAGACUCUGAUAAGUGCUUUCAGAUACAAUUUCUG